UACGAAGGGGGCGAGCGUUGUCCGGAUUCACUGGGCGUAAAGCGCGCGUAGGCGGGCUUUUAUGUUGGGGGUGAAAUGCCGAGGCUCAACCUCGGAACUGCCUCCAAAACUGGGAGUCUUGAGGUAUGGAGAGGGAAGUGGAAUACCAGGUGUAGCGGUGAUAUGCGUAAAUAUCUGGAAGAACACCCGUGGCGAAGGCGGCUUCCUGGGCAUAUCCUUACGAUGAGGUGCGAAGGCCAGGGGAGCGAACGGG
rnacentral:rRNA from 1 species